rfam:Camelus ferus unplaced genomic scaffold scaffold320, whole genome shotgun sequence.
GGGGAGAUCACUCAGUGGUAGAGCAUGUGCUUAGCACGCAUGAGGUCCUGGGUUCAAUCCCCAGCACCUUCA